UCUCAUUGACNNUUGAUGGUGUUCCGGUCNNCNNCUCUCUAUGGGGUGGUUGGCUUGACCCACAACAUGACCUUGACCUCAAAUCGGGUGAGACUACCCGCUGAACUUAAGCAUAUCAAUAAGCGGAGGA
rnacentral:misc_RNA from 1 species